rnacentral:rRNA from 1 species
UACGUAGGGUGCAAGCGUUAAUCGGAAUUACUGGGCGUAAAGCGUGCGCAGGCGGUUUUGUAAGACCGAUGUGAAAUCCCCGGGCUUAACCUGGGAACUGCGCUUGUUACUGGCAAGCUGGAGUGUGGCAGAGGGGGGUGGAAUUCCACGUGUAGCAGUGAAAUGCGUAGAGAUGUGGAGGAACACCGAUGGCGAAGGCAGCCCCCUGGGCUAACACUGACGCUCAUGCACGAAAGCGUGGGGAGCAAACAGG